UUGAGUUGAAAGGCUAAAUGGGCAUUUGAAUUCACUCCAUAGAGCAUCUCUAAUCAGCAGCCGAGCGGAACCCGGAGAAGUAACAUCAUCAAGUGUGAGAUGGAGUGUUAAGGGAGAAGAGAAUAAAUAAAAGAAAAGGGAACUGAUGGAAUGACUUAAAGCCUGAACUUUCUGCUUGAUGUGGAAAACCACAGGAAACCACUGAAGCUUUGAUGGAAUGGAGAAACGGGUACAGAACAAUGUUUUACAGAGGUGAUCCAGGCAGCACAAAGAAGUGCGGACAAGGAAGUCUGAAGGUGACAUGAAAAAAGCCCAACGAAUCUAAGGGCCAGAGCCAUGAAGAGCAGUCAGGAACUCUUCUCCAUCGUACCUGGAUUUCUAUUUCUUCUUCACAAGACUCCUGAUAAAGCCGAUCCCUGAGCAGAGACCGGAGCAGGCUAACCAUCAUGGAAGUCGAGACAACAUGGGUGAUCUUUCCGCCCGUAGGACGUGUUCCUUUUGCUUGGAGUCCAGUUUGCUUCUGAUAACCAAACACGUAUCUUAAACAUACCAAAUAAAGCGGUCAAUUCUCAAUUCGAAACAAAAA